GACGAACGCUGGCGGCGUGCUUAACACAUGCAAGUCGAACGGUGAAGCGCCUUCCUUUUUGGUGGGUGUGGAUGAGUGGCGAACGGGUGAGUAACACGUGAGUAACCUGCCCCCUUCUUCUGGAUAACCGCAUGAAAGUGUGGCUAAUACGGGAUAUUCUGGGUCUGUCGCAUGAUGGGUCUGGGAAAGAUAUUGUUUCGGUGGGGGAUGGGCUCGCGGCCUAUCAGCUUGUUGGUGGGGUGAUGGCCUACCAAGGCGGUGACGGGUAGCCGGCCUGAGAGGGUGGACGGUCACACUGGGGCGGAGACACGGCCCAGACUCCUACGGGAGGCAGCAGUGGGGAAUAUUGCACAAUGGGCGGAAGCCUGAUGCAGCGACGCCGCGUGAGGGAUGGAGGCCUUCGGGUUGUGAACCGCUUUCGCCAGUGAAGCAGGCCUGCCUCGUUUGUGGGUGGGUUGACGGUAGCUGGAUAAGAAGCGCCGGCUAACUACGUG
rnacentral:rRNA from 1 species